rnacentral:rRNA from 1 species
UACGUAGGGUGCGAGCGUUGUCCGAAAUUAUUGGGCGUAAAGAGCUCGUAGGCGGUGUGUCACGUCGGCCGUGAAAACCUGCAGCUUAACUGUGGGCGUGCGGUCGAUACGGGCAUCACUGGAGUUCGGCAGGGGAGACUGGAAUUCCUGGUGUAGCGGUGAAAUGCGCAGAUAUCAGGAGGAACACCGGUGGCGAAGGCGGGUCUCUGGGCCGAUACUGACGCUGAGGAGCGAAAGCGUGGGGAGCAGACAGG